rnacentral:rRNA from 1 species
GAUGAACGCUGGCGGCGUGCCUAAUACAUGCAAGUCGAGCGAACAGACGAGGAGCUUGCUCCUCUGACGUUAGCGGCGGACGGGUGAGUAACACGUGGAUAACUUACCUAUAAGACUGGGAUAACUUCGGGAAACCGGAGCUAAUACCGGAUAAUAUAUUGAACCGCAUGGUUCAAUAGUGAAAGACGGUUUUGCUGUCACUUAUAGAUGGAUCCGCGCCGCAUUAGCUAGUUGGUAAGGUAACGGCUUACCAAGGCAACGAUGCGUAGCCGACCUGAGAGGGUGAUCGGCCACACUGGAACUGAGACACGGUCCAGACUCCUACGGGAGGCAGCAGUAGGGAAUCUUCCGCAAUGGGCGAAAGCCUGACGGAGCAACGCCGCGUGAGUGAUGAAGGUCCUCGGAUCGUAAAACUCUGUUAUUAGGGAAGAACAAAUGUGUAAGUAACUAUGCACGUCUUGACGGUACCUAAUCAGAAAGCCACGGCUAACUACGUG